GACGAACGCUGGCGGCGUGCCUAAUACAUGCAAGUAGGACGCAGUUGCGAACGGGUGAGUAACGCGUAGGUAACUACCUAUUAGAGGGGGAUAACUAUUGGAAACGAUAGCUAAUACCGCCUACUAGUAGAUGGACCUGCGUUGUAUUAGCUAGUAGGUUGGGUAAUGGCCUACCUAGGCAACGAUACAUAGCCGACCUGGGGAGGUGUGUGGCCACAACGGGGCUGAGAACAGGCCCCGACUCCUAACGGAGGCAGCAGUUGGGGAACUUUGGCAAUGGGGCGAAACCUGACCGAGGAACGCCGCGGGGGUGAAAGAGGUUUUCGGAUCGUAAAGCUCUGUUGUUAAGGAAGCGGUACUUAACCAGAAAGGGACGGCUAACUACGUGCCAGCAGCCGCGGUAAUAC
rnacentral:rRNA from 1 species